rnacentral:rRNA from 1 species
AGGAAAAGAAACCAACCGGGAUUGCCUUAGUAACGGCGAGUGAAGCGGCAAAAGCUCAAAUUUGAAAUCUGGUACCUUCGGUGCCCGAGUUGUAAUUUGGAGAGGGCAACUUUGGGGCCGUUCCUUGUCUAUGUUCCUUGGAACAGGACGUCAUAGAGGGUGAGAAUCCCGUGUGGCGAGGAGUGCGGUUCUUUGUAAAGUGCCUUCGAAGAGUCGAGUUGUUUGGGAAUGCAGCUCUAAGUGGGUGGUAAAUUCCAUCUAAAGCUAAAUAUUGGCGAGAGACCGAUAGCGAACAAGUACAGUGAUGGAAAGAUGAAAAGAACUUUGAAAAGAGAGUGAAAAAGUACGUGAAAUUGUUGAAAGGGAAGGGCAUUUGAUCAGACAUGGUGUUUUGUGCCCUCUGCUCCUUGUGGGUAGGGGAAUCUCGCAUUUCACUGGGCCAGCAUCAGUUUUGGUGGCAGGAUAAAUCCAUAGGAAUGUAGCUUGCCUCGGUAAGUAUUAUAGCCUGUGGGAAUACUGCCAGCUGGGACUGAGGACUGCGACGUAAGUCAAGGAUGCUGGCAUAAUGGUUAUAUGCCGCCCGUCUUGA